ensembl:lncRNA
GCCAGGGUUGGAGGGGGGGACGGGACGGCACGCCCGGCGCCGCUCUCACGUGGCGCGGGCACUUCCUCCCUCCCGGGUCACGUGCGGGGGGCCUGGCGGGCGCCGGAAGUGUCGCAGCGCGGCGGCGGCGGCGCACGCAGUGGGGAGGAGGAGGAGGAGGAGGUCGGUCGGUCGGUCGGUGUCGCCGGGCGCCUCCGGGGCCGCUCCCGCCGCCCCCGCCGCCAUGGGCACCAGCGGCUCCAAGUCGCGGGGGCUGUGGCCCUUCGCCUCCCCGGCGGCGGGCGGCGGCGGCUCCGAGGGUCCCGGCGGGCAGCAGGCCCUGGCCCGGGCGCGGGCCGCGCGCGCCGCCACCCCCUUCGUCUUCACGCGCCGCGGCUCCAUGUAUUACGAUGAGGAUGGGGAUCUCGCCCACGAGUUCUACGAGGAGACAAUCGUUACCAAGAACGGGAGGAAGCGCGCCAAGCUGAAGAGGAUCCACAAGAACCUGGUACCUCAGGGCAUAGUGAAACUAGAGCACCCUCGCAUUCACGUGGAUUUCCCGGUGAUCAUCUGCGAAGUGUGAGUCGCCAGACGUGUCUGCCCGCGGGCAGGAGGCCCUGCCCCACCGCCCCCCAGCCUUCACCAGGCGAGGCUGCGUCGCGUUCCCACCCGAGGAAGACUCUGGGCGCGCGGCGGGGACGAAGGCUCUCCCCUCGCCCAGAGGUGAGGCAGGACGGAGCAGGCCGGGCUGGGCUUGGCUAGCACUCCUCGCAGGCGAUGGGUGACCUUGUGCAAUGACUGCUUACAAACAUCCUCGCUUGAGUCAGAAGACUAAGAUACUUUCGUUAGCCUCUAGCCGAUGUUUGAUGGGUAACUGGAACUGCGAACGAGCUGCUGUGUUUGAGCUGUUAAAGGGAGAGCGAGCCUGCACUUCUCACCAGACAAAAUCCCCUGCUUCUCAGUUUCUCCCAGGCUGGAUCUCCUUGGGAAGGGUGUCCCUUGGGUUCCGGAGGAGAGCAGGAGCUGCUGUCCCCAGGAAGAGGAGAGAAAGCUGUGGGCUGCCCCUGCCGCCUUGCCCCGCUGCCGCCCGGGGGCUCGGGAAGCUGCACCAAACCCACCUCGGGUACAGGGGGAAGGCGGAGGAGGAGCGGGGAAGGGGUUGGUGCCUUUUUUUCUGCCCGGACUUAGGAGCCCCUCGCCUGGCUGCUGGCCAAAAAUCUGCUGACAAGGCAGGGCCCAAACCCUGGGAGGGGGCAGAGACCCAGACCGGCUCAGCGAGGAUGCUUUUGUCCUCCCUGACAGGCUGCCCACGCUUCCCCCAGGGUGUCAAACGUGUUUCCCUGCCCCCCCUCCCCCCCCCCCCUCCAAAAACCCACUCACUCUUCCACCCCACCGUGUCACCGGAGCAGCAGCGAACCUCCGCAGGCUGCCACCAAGCUGCGUCCUACCCCGCUUCUUCCCAGGCUGGUCCCCCUACAAGCAGCCAGACCCCCCCCCAGACCCCCGUUCCCUCCGCCGGCCUCCAGCCCUCCUGCAGCAAGAGGGCCUCGGGAGCACCCGGAGGGAUCUUGAAAAUGUGAAGGUCGCUGUAAAUAGUAUCUGUGUCCACUGUGGUGUUGGAGCAAGCAAAAAAAAAAAAAAAAAAAAAGGAAAGUUUUCCUUUUGAUUAUUUUCUUUUUUUUUUUACGAUUUCUGUGCGACGUCGUGCUUUCCCGUGUGGAUGUGUAGCCGAACCGUACUCACUGACACUAGGCUCCUUGCUCCUCUAGCGUGUGGGUAGGACCCGUGGGUUUGGGAAACGUACACUAUUUAUGGUCCUUCCUCCCGGUGCAUCUGUCCACUUUUGUUAAAUUUCAAUAAAAUUAUUUGUAGAGCCCA